AUUAUAGAAUGCCCGUUCGCAGGCAACCACCUAACAGGCAUACGAUGGUAUGCCCGUUAGGUGGUUGCCUGCGAACGGGCAUUCUAUAAUU